rnacentral:rRNA from 1 species
CCUACGGGUGGCAGCAGUGAGGAAUAUUGGUCAAUGGGCGCAAGCCUGAACCAGCCAAGUCGCGUGCAGGAUGACGGCCCUACGGGUUGUAAACUUCUUUUAUACGGGAAUAAAGCGACUUACGUGUGCCUCUUUGCAUGUAUCGUAUGAAUAAGGAUCGGCUAACUCCGUGCCAGCAGCCGCGGUAAUACGGAGGGUCCGAGCGUUAUCAGGAUUUAUUGGGUUUAAAGGGAGCGUAGGCGGUUUGUGAAGUUAGAUGUGAAAUGCCGGGGCUCAACCGUGGAAUUGCAUCUGAUACUGGUAGGCUUGAGUAUAGUUGAGGGAGGCGGAAUUUGUGGUGUAGCGGUGAAAUGCUUAGAGAUCACGAAGAACACCGAUUGCGAAGGCAGCCUACUAAGCUACCACUGACGUUGAGGCACGAAAGCGUGGGUAGCAAACAGGAUUAGAUACCCGAGUAGUC